rnacentral:rRNA from 1 species
UGGCGGACGGGUGAGUAAUGCCUGGGAAACUGCCCGAUGGAGGGGGAUAACUACUGGAAACGGUAGCUAAUACCGCAUAACGUCGCAAGACCAAAGAGGGGGACCUUCGGGCCUCUUGCCAUCGGAUGUGCCCAGAUGGGAUUAGCUAGUAGGUGGGGUAACGGCUCACCUAGGCGACGAUCCCUAGCUGGUCUGAGAGGAUGACCAGCCACACUGGAACUGAGACACGGUCCAG